rnacentral:lncRNA from 1 species
CAGCCACUGAGAAACCUUUGUAUCCCCUCUCGCAGCAACAGGUCACACCACACGCCUUUUCGAAGGAAAUUAUUGACAAGCACCGUGGGCUCAAUGGUGUCAAGUUGUACUUGUGGUUUCAACACCCCGCAGCAACCCACGUAGCCGCUGGGCCCUGGAUUAGGACCCCCAGUCUGGCAGUGCUUAUCUGCCCGUCUGAGUGAUGGAGAGAUGAGUAUCAGUCUAUACCUCAACUGCUUCAAGCCCGCCUGGGCUUUCUCCCUGGCGCCUUUGUCUGUGUCAGGGUUGGAGCAACGAAACUGAAAGAUCUCCAGAGUUUGAAAACAGAGUGAAAGAGCAAAUUUAAUAAAUGAGAGCUCAGCCUUGAAUCUUAGUCUUUAUUAAUAGAGUCAUGUCCCUCACACCCAAAUAACUAUCAAACUUCAAACCACAUGUACUGUUUUUCAGAGUUCGGGUUCUUUCCUGGGUUCAUCAUGAAAGGUGUGAGGGAUGAAGGGGAAAAGGGUCUGAGGAGUUGGCAGG